GGUACGGGUGCGUAACACGUGUGCAACCUGCCUUUAUCUGGGGGAUAGCCUUUCGAAAGGAAGAUUAAUACUCCAUAAUAUAUUGAACGGCAUCGUUUAAUAUUGAAAGCUCCGGCGGAUAGAGAUGGGCACGCGCAAGAUUAGCUAGUUGGUGAGGUAACGGCUCACCAAGGCGAUGAUCUUUAGGGGGCCUGAGAGGGUGAUCCCCCACACUGGUACUGAGACACGGACCAG
rnacentral:rRNA from 1 species